AUUGAACGCUGGCGGCAGGCCUAACACAUGCAAGUCGAGCGGUAGCACAGAGAGCUUGCUCUCGGGUGACGAGCGGCGGACGGGUGAGUAAUGUCUGGGAAACUGCCUGAUGGAGGGGGAUAACUACUGGAAACGGUAGCUAAUACCGCAUAACGUCGCAAGACCAAAGUGGGGAACCUUCGGGCCUCAUGCCAUCAGAUGUGCCCAGAUGGGAUUAGCUGGUAGGUGGGGUAACGGCUCACCUAGGCGACGAUCCCUAGCUGGUCUGAGAGGAUGACCAGCCACACUGGAACUGAGACACGGUCCAGACUCCUACGGGAGGCAGCAGUGGGGAAUAUUGCACAAUGGGCGCAAGCCUGAUGCAGCCAUGCCGCGUGUGUGAAGAAGGCCUUCGGGUUGUAAAGCACUUUCAGCGGGGAGGAAGGCGGUGAGGUUAAUAACCUCAUCGAUUGACGUUACCCGCAGAAGAAGCACCGGCUAACUCCGUGCCAGCAGCCGCGGUAACAC
rnacentral:rRNA from 1 species